rnacentral:rRNA from 1 species
GUACUCGAGUGGCGAACGGGUGAGUAACACGUGGGUGAUCUGCCCUGGACUCUGGGAUAAGCCUGGGAAACUGGGUCUAAUACCGGAUAUUCACUUUCUCUCGCAUGGGGGUUGGUGGAAAGCUUUUGCGGUUCAGGAUGGGCCCGCGGCCUAUCAGCUUGUUGGUGGGGUAAUGGCCUACCAAGGCGACGACGGGUAGCCGACCUGAGAGGGUGAUCGGCCACACUGGGACUGAGACACGGCCCAGACUCCUACGGGAGGCAGCAGUGGGGAAUAUUGCACAAUGGGCGCAAGCCUGAUGCAGCGACGCCGCGUGAGGGAUGACGGCCUUCGGGUUGUAAACCUCUUUCACCAGGGACGAAGCGUGAGUGACGGUACCUGGAGAAGAAGCACCGGCCAACUACGUGCCAGCAGCCGCGGUAAUACGUAGGGUGCGAGCGUUGUCCGGAAUUACUGGGCGUAAAGAGCUCGUAGGCGGUUUGUCGCGUCGUCUGUGAAAUUCUGCAACUCAAUUGUAGGCGUGCAGGCGAUACGGGCAGACUUGAGUACUACAGGGGAGACUGGAAUUCCUGGUGUAGCGGUG